UGAGACAUUGUUGGCCAGUGCUGCAGGCAGUGCUUGCUGCACAGUAACAGCCUUGCCUUAGUCAAGGAUGUCACAACCAGGAAUUAUAAGCAGGGAUUUGCAGGAGAACUGAAACAGAAAAGGAAAAGGAAUGGUGGAUACUUAUGGGCUUCUGUUCCAAGGGUCAAGAUUGUGUGAGCCAAGUCUUCUGUCCUGAUCCAUGCCAGAAUCUUGGGUUCCUGAAUGUAAUUGUAGAGUAAGAUUGAGGUCUUCAGAUCCUGUGGCUUGAGAGAAUCAAAUUGAUCCAAGACCUGAGAGAAGGUUGCUACUUUCCUGCAAUUGCAUUUCAAAUAGAAAUAUGUCUUCAUUUUA